UCACUUGUAAUUGUUAAAUUAAUGCAUUUCGCAAACCUACAUAAUGUUAGUGAUCUGUAAGUAUAUUUUGGAUAAAUUUGUUUUUCAUUGGAUGUAAACAUUACAAAUUACAUGUUAGGCUAAAGGCAUCUUUUUGUUUUGACUUUUUACGUACUGAUUUGAAAGUGAAAGUAGAAACCCUGUAUAGCAGUUGGCGUUUUGUAUGUUGAGAUCGUUUAUCAAGUCGAUUCUUUCAUCAACUUAAUGACAAAUGUUUGUUUUUAUGGCCUAUAGAUGCAUUCAACUUGAGUUCAGUGUCACAGUGCAGCUUUUUUAUGAAGUCCACGAAGCCCAAAGCUGAUAAGACUGACGAUUGAUCCUAAAGCUGAUUCUGACAGACGAUUGCAUCAUCACAAUAUUAAAGGUUCAAUAUACAGUCAGCCUCUCAUAAGAAAAAAUCCAAAGAUCCAAGGUUUGCUUCAAAGUUAAGAGACCAUUCUGUGCCACAAAGAAAUUGUUUAGGAAGGGAAGAACUGGUGGAUUUGCAUUUUUGGUACAGUUCAAAGGGAUUUUCAAAAUGGUCAGAUCAGAGGGAGGACAACUGAAAA